rnacentral:rRNA from 1 species
AUUGAACGCUGGCGGCAUGCCUUACACAUGCAAGUCGAACGGCAGCGCGGGGCAACCUGGCGGCGAGUGGCGAACGGGUGAGUAAUAUAUCGGAACGUACCCAAGAGUGGGGGAUAACGUAGCGAAAGUUACGCUAAUACCGCAUACGAUCCAAGGAUGAAAGCAGGGGACCGCAAGGCCUUGUGCUCCUGGAGCGGCCGAUAUCUGAUUAGCUAGUUGGUGGGGAAAGGCCUACCAAGGCAUCGAUCAGUAGCUGGUCUGAGAGGACGACCAGCCACACUGGAACUGAGACACGGUCCAGACUCCUACGGGAGGCAGCAGUGGGGAAUUUUGGACAAUGGGCGCAAGCCUGAUCCAGCAAUGCCGCGUGAGUGAAGAAGG